rnacentral:rRNA from 1 species
GAUGAACGCUAGCGGCAGGCCUAAUACAUGCAAGUCGAACGGGAUCCAGAUCAAAGCUUGCUUUGGUCUGGUGAGAGUGGCGCACGGGUGCGUAACGCGUGAGCAACCUACCCUUGUCAGGGGGAUAGCCCGGCGAAAGUCGGAUUAAUACCGCAUGACAUCAUUGAGAGGCAUCUUUCGAUGAUCAAAGAUUUAUCGGACAAGGAUGGGCUCGCGUGACAUUAGCUAGUUGGUAAGGUAACGGCUUACCAAGGCUGCGAUGUCUAGGGGAUCUGAGAGGAGAACCCCCCACACUGGUACUGAGACACGGACCAGACUCCGACGGGAGGCAGCAGUAAGGAAUAUUGGGAAAUGGACGGAAGUCUGAACCAGCCACGCCGCGUGCAGGAAGACGGCCCUAGGGGUUGUAAACUGCUUUUAUACGGGAACAAACGUCGGUACGUGUACCGGUCUGAGUGUACCGUAAGAAUAAGGAUCGGCUAACUCCGUG